AGAAAAGAGCGGGAGACUUAACGACAAGAGUACACUAAGUUGUGAAUGUUGCUGCACCUGCAACAAAUAUGACUUGGCAGUAGCAUCUUCGAUCCUAUGAGCUGUCAGCCACACAGGGGAGCUUGUCUAUCCACCUGCAAUCUGACUUGAAUGAUACAACCCCACUCUGUGCAUACAAGAUUGGGGGCUUGCUGAUGCUUACUCCCAAGAGGUUCAUAAAAGUGAGACAAAAUUAAGACCACUCUACAUGAUGGCAGCU